rnacentral:rRNA from 1 species
GAUGAACGCUGGCGGCGUGCCUAAUACAUGCAAGUCGAGCGAACAGACGAGGAGCUUGCUCCUCUAACGUUAGCGGCGGACGGGUGAGUAACACGUGGAUAACCUACCUAUAAGACUGGGAUAACUUCGGGAAACCGGAGCUAAUACCGGAUAAUAUAUUGAACCGCAUGGUUCAAUAGUGAAAGACGGUUUUGCUGUCACUUAUAGAUGGAUCCGCGCCGCAUUAGCUAGUUGGUAAGGUAACGGCUUACCAAGGCAACGAUGCGUAGCCGACCUGAGAGGGUGAUCGGCCACACUGGAACUGAGGCACGGUCCAGACUCCUACGGGAGGCAGCAGUAGGGAAUCUUCCGCAAUGGGCGAAAGCCUGACGGAGCAACGCCGCGUGAGUGAUGAAGGUCUUCGGAUCGUAAAACUCUGUUAUUAGGGAAGAACAAAUGUGUAAGUAACUAUGCACGUCUUGACGGUACCUAAUCAGAAAGCCACGGCUAACUACGUG